rnacentral:miRNA from 1 species
GACUUCGAAUAUCGACGUCAUAAACACCAAAGUUGAUCGUGUUUAUCACGUCAAAUAUCGACGUCAUCAACACCAAACUUGUUCGUGUUUAUGACGUCGAAUAUCGACGUCAUAAACACCAAACUUGUUCGUGUUUAUGACGUCGAAUAUGGACGUCAUAAACACCAAAGUUGAUCGUGUUUAUGACGUCGAAUAUCGACAUCAUAAACACCAAACUUGAUCGUGUUUAUGACGUCGAAUAUCGAUGUC